rnacentral:rRNA from 1 species
CCUACGGGAGGCAGCAGUGGGGGAUAUUGCACAAUGGGGGGAACCCUGAUGCAGCGACGCCGCGUGGGUGAAGAAGCGCCUCGGCGCGUAAAGCCCUGUCAGCAGGGAAGAAAAUGACGGUACCUGAAGAAGAAGCCCCUGCUAACUACGUGCCAGCAGCCGCGGUAAUACGUAGGGGGCAAGGGUUAACCGGAUUUACUGGGGGGAAAGGGGGCGGAGACGGCGAUGCAAGCCAGGAUGGAAAGCCCGGGGCCCAACCCCGGGACUGCUCUUGGAACUGCGAGGCUGGAGUGAAGGAGAGGCAGGCGGAAUUCCUGGUGUAGCGGUGAAAUGCGUAGAUAUCAGGAGGAACACCGGUGGCGAAGGCAGCCUGCUGGACUGCAACUGACGCUGAGGCCCGAAAGCGUGGGGAGCAAACAGGAUUAGAUACCCCGGUAGUC